GAUGAACGCUGGCGGCGUGCCUAAUACAUGCAAGUCGAGCGAACAGACGAGGCGCUUGCUCCUCUGACGUUAGCGGCGGACGGGUGAGUAACACGUGGAUAACCUACCUAUAAGACUGGGAUAACUUCGGGAAACCGGAGCUAAUACCGGAUAAUAUCUUGAACCGCAUGGUUCAAUAGUGAAAGACGGUUUUGCUGUCACUUAUAGAUGGAUCUGCGCCGGAUUAGCUAGUUGGUAAGGUAACGGCUUACCAAGGCAACGAUGCGUAGCCGACCGGAGAGAGGGAUAGGCCACACUGGAACUGAGACACGGUCCAGACUCCUACGGGAGGCAGCAGUAGGGAAUCUGCCGCAAUGGGCGAAAGCCUGACGGAGCAACGCCGCGUGAGUGAUGAAGGUCUUCGGAUCGUAAAACUCUGUUAUUAGUGAAGAACAAAUGUGUAAGUAACUAUGCACGUCUUGACGGUACCUAAUCAGAAAGCCACGGCUAACUACGUG
rnacentral:rRNA from 1 species